CCAGAACAUCUAAAUUAAUAACAAAAAAUACAAACACAAUCAACCAAACCUAAAAUUGGAUAAAUUAAAAUAAAUUCUACUAGACCUAAAUUUAAUAUUUUAUAAUCUAAACCUAGUUUAAUAUACACCACAAUUGUCCCAUGUCCAAAUUAAACAAUUCAAAUUAGCCAAACCCAUGUCAAAUAUUCAAAUAAUCUAACAAAUCCCACCCACAUUAUGGGCCCCAAAAUUCACAUC
rnacentral:lncRNA from 1 species